GAAAUUAAGGCUGCUGCACUUAACGUGCUAAGUGGAUAAUGCCAGAGAUUACACAAUAGGCCAAAUAAUUCAGGGAAAGACGGUCUGGGGGCAGUGUCAGUAUUCUCUGCAAAAGAAGCUAAUAAUGUAUCUCUUCUCCUAGGCUUCCAGACAGUUCGUGUUGGGACAGUGGGCACCCCUGUGGGCACCAUCACUCUUUCUUGUGCUUACAGAAUUAACUUGGCAUUCAUGUCUACCAGGCAAUUUGAGAGGACCCCACCUAUCAUGGGGAUUAUUAUUGAUCACUUUGUGGACCGUCCCUAUCCCAGCUCCUCUCCCAUGCACCCCUGCAAUUACAGAACUGCUGGUGAGGACACUGGAGUAAUAUACCCAUCUGUAGAAGACUCUCAAGAAGUGUGUACCACCUCUUUUUCCACCUCCCCACCAUCCCAGCUGAUGGUUCCUGGGAAGGAAGGUGGGGUACCCCUUGCUCCCAACCAGCCUGUCCAUGGUACCCAGGCUGACCAGGAGAGACUGGCAACCUGCACCCCUUCUGACGGAACCCACUGUGCUGCCACACCCUCCAGUAGUGAGGAUACUGAAACCGUAUCAAACAGCAGCGAGGGACGGGCCUCACCUCACGAUGUCUUGGAGACCAUCUUUGUCCGAAAAGUGGGGGCUUU
rnacentral:sRNA from 1 species